UAAGUUUCUCUCGGCAAAGUUCGGUCAACUACCAAUAUCAACGACAAUAUAUGAAUCGAAGGUUUUCAUGAUUCUAGGUUUGUCUACAGUACCUUAAUUUCUCUUAGGAAAUAGUGUUGUUCUCAAUCCUGUUGUGGUUGCUUCAGAGUUACUUCAAAAUUUCUCACAACACAAUCUGAUAUCUGCCGAAAGACUCCACAAAAAUUCCAAUAUUAUCUAAACUUCUCACAGCAAAAUCAGUUUGUACGGCACUUUGGCAUGGAAGAAUUGAAGAAACUCGCAAGAAAAAAUAGAAUAUGCAUACGGAACAAAGAACGACCAAAAUAUUCCUCGAAUAACAAUGAAGGAUGGGCUGGAUUUAAUAAUCCAGGGAGUGCUCCAAGCCGAGAUCUAGGGAGUGCUUCCAUGCUCCAUGCUUUGUCGAAGAAAGGAGCAGUUGAUGGGCUGGAUUAAUUUAUCGAGGGAGUGCUUUCCAUGCUCCAUGCUUUAUUGGGUAGAGGAACAACACUUCAAGUUGUCUCUCAUUACAUUGUGUUCCCUUUCCAUUUUGAAUCUUCCUUCAUACAGAAUCUGCUAUUUGUAUUUGCAGGUGAGCUACAUAUAAGACAAUGGUUCAAGAUACAUAGUCAUGGAGUGAAUCUUCAUUCCUUUUUGGAAAUGCUUGCUUCACCUGAAUCUGUAUAUAUUAAUAUAAUAUUAGUUAAGACUUCUUUAUUGA